rnacentral:rRNA from 1 species
GUAGGGAAUAUUGCGCAAUGGACGAAAGUCUGACGCAGCGACGCCGCGUGAGUGAUGAAGGCCUUAGGGUCGUAAAGCUCUGUUGAAUGGGAAGAAAAAAAUGACGGUACCAUUCGAGGAAGGACCGGCUAACUUCGUGCCAGCAGCCGCGGUAAUACGAGGGGUCCUAGCGUUGUUCGGAAUCAUUGGGCGUAAAGGGUGUGUAGGUGGCCAUGUAAGUCAGGUGUGAAAGCCCCGGGCUCAACCCGGGAAGUGCACUUGAUACUGCGUGGCUUGAGUACCGAAGAGGGUAGUGGAGUUCCAGGUGUAGUGGUGAGAUACGUAGAUAGCUGGAGGAACACCGGUGGCGAAGGCGGCUACCUGGUCGAGUACUGACACUGAGACACGAAAGCAUGGGGAUCAAACAGGAUUAGAAACCCCGGUAGUCC